GACGAACGCUGGCGGCGUGCUUAACACAUGCAAGUCGAGCGGUAAGGCCCUUUCGGGGGUACGACGAGCGGCGAACGGGUGAGUAACACGUGGGUGACCUGCCCUCAGCUCUGGGAUAAGCCUGGGAAACCGGGUCUAAUACCGGAUAUGACUCCAUGACGCAUGUUGUGGGGUGGAAAGCCUUGUGCGGCUGAGGAUGGGCCCGCGGCCUAUCAGCUUGUUGGUGGGGUGAUGGCCUACCAAGGCGACGACGGGUAGCCGGCCUGAGAGGGCGACCGGCCACACUGGGACUGAGACACGGCCCAGACUCCUACGGGAGGCAGCAGUGGGGAAUCUUGCGCAAUGGGCGAAAGCCUGACGCAGCGACGCCGCGUGAGGAUGACGGCCU
rnacentral:rRNA from 1 species